GCCGGGGUAGCCUAGCUCGGUAUGGCGCAAGCCUGGAGAGCUUGUGUUCCGAAAGGAGCGCAUGGGUUCAAAUCCCAUCCCCGGCG
rnacentral:tRNA from 1 species